rnacentral:rRNA from 1 species
UACGUAGGGGGCAAGCGUUGUCCGGAUUUAUUGGGCGUAAAGAGCGUGUAGGCGGCCAAACAGGUCCACUGUUAAAACUCGAGGCUCAACCUCGAGAGGUCGGUGGAAACCGUCUGGCUAGAGUCCGGAAGAGGAGAGUGGAAUUCCCGGUGUAGCGGUGAAAUGCGCAGAUAUCGGGAAGAACACCCGUGGCGAAGGCGGCUCUCUGGGACGGUACUGACGCUGAGACGCGAAAGCGUGGGGAGCGAACAGG